rnacentral:rRNA from 1 species
CCUACGGGAGGCAGCAGUGGGGAAUAUUGCACAAUGGGGGAAACCCUGAUGCAGCGACGCCGCGUGAAGGAAGACGUUUUUCGUAUUGUAAACUUCUAUCAAUAGGGAAGAAAGAAAUGACGGUACCUAAAUAAGCAGCCCCUGCUAACUACGUGCCAGCAGCCGCGGUAAUACGGAGGGGGCAGGCGUUAUCCGGAAUUACUGGGUGGAAAGGGAGAGUAGGCGGCAAGGUAAGCGAGAUGUGAAAGCCUUAAGCUUAACUUAAGGAUGGCAUAACGAACUAUCUAGCUAGAGUACAGGAGAGGAAAGUGGAAUUCCUAGUGUAGCGGUGAAAUGCGUAGAUAUUAGGAAGAACACCAGUGGCGAAGGCGGCUUUCUGGACUGAAACUGACGUUGAGGCUCGAAAGCGUGGGGAGCGAACAGGAUUAGAUACCCGUGUAGUC